rnacentral:rRNA from 1 species
CGAGGCAGCUUGCUGCUUUGCUGACGAGUGGCGGACGGGUGAGUAAUGUCUGGGAAACUGCCUGAUGGAGGGGGAUAACUACUGGAAACGGUAGCUAAUACCGCAUAACGUCGCAAGACCAAAGAGGGGGACCUUCGGGCCUCUUGCCAUCGGAUGUGCCCAGAUGGGAUUAGCUAGUAGGUGGGGUAACGGCUCACCUAGGCGACGAUCCCUAGCUGGUCUGAGAGGAUGACCAGCCACACUGGAACUGAGACACGGUCCAGACUCCUACGGGAGGCAGCAGUGGGGAAUAUUG